UACAGAGGUCUCAAGCGUUGUUCGGAUUUAUUGGGCGUAAAGAGCUUGUAGGCGGUUCGGUAAGUCGGGUGUGAAACCUCUGGGCUCAACUCAGAGACGCCACCCGAUACUGCUGUGACUAGAGUGCGGUAGGGGAGCGGGGAAUUCCUGGUGUAGCGGUGAAAUGCGCAGAUAUCGGAAGGAACAUCAGUGGCGAAAGCGGCUUCCUGGACCAGCACCGACGUUCAGGCACGAAAGCGUGGGGAGCAAACAGG
rnacentral:rRNA from 1 species